CUAUUCCUUGCCCCUCCCGCCUAUAUACCGCCGUCGCCAGCUUACCCUGUGAAGGUAUCGCAGUAAGCAAAACGGGCAAUGCCCAGAACGUCAGGUCGAGGUGUAGCGCACGAAAUAGGAAGAAAUGGGCUACAUUAUCUGAAGCAGAUUAUUCACGGAAGGUUACCUGAAAUUGGUAGCCCAAAGGUGGAUUUAGCAGUAAGGGGAGAAUAGAGCGCCCCCCUGAAGCCGGCUCUGAAGCGCGCACACACCGCCCGUCACUCUCCCCAACAACACCCACACCAGGUAAUUAACACAAUAACAGCCACAAGGGGAGGCAAGUCGUAACAUGGUAAGUGUACCGGAAGGUGCACUUGGAAUAA
rnacentral:rRNA from 1 species